ACAGAGGGGGCAAGCGUUGUUCGGAAUUAUUGGGCGUAAAGGGCGCGUAGGCGGUGCGGUAAGUCACCUGUGAAAUCUCUGGGCUCAACUCAGAGUCUGCAGGCGAAACUGCCGUGCUAGAGUGUGGUAGAGGGUGGCGGAAUUCCCGGUGUAGCAGUGAAAUGCGUAGAGAUCGGGAGGAACAUCUGUGGCGAAGGCGGCCACCUGGGCCAGCACUGACACUGAGGCACGAAAGCGUGGGGAGCAAACAGGA
rnacentral:rRNA from 1 species